CAAAAACUAUGUCAACAAGUCCCCUAAAAGGAGAGGAACAGAGAUUGCCACAAGGUGUUGAUUAAACCAUUGGCAUCUCCACACUUGAAAUAUAUUUCACAGUUCAGUUUGACUUGGCAUGAUUUUGAUAGAGCUUCUUAGUGGUGCAUUGUUUGUUUGGGAUAUGCAAGAGAAAGACUGGGAAUUGAUCUGUCUUUUAUGUAGGAGAGAUUCAAGGCUGAUUUACUAUAUUUGGAGCUUGAAAAAUCACUGCUUUACCAACAGCAGGGAAUUGUGGAUGGAGGGAGACUACCAACUUUUGUUUUAUGCCUCUUUAUGUACAAAGACUUAGAUCUUUUUUCUUUGUAGCCGUGUUUUCUAGGCUCAUAAGAGACUGGUAAAAAUUGUAAGUUGGAGAUGGGAAUUUUGUUACCAGAUGCUAUGCACAUUUCUCCCCAUUGCUUAGCUUAUGCAGCUCAGCCUUGGCCUGAAAUAACCCCUUGUAUUAGAGCACUGGGCCUCCUUUAUGUGUGCUAGCUGUGGAUUUGUCUCAUGCUGCAGUGUACAGAAAUAUUCACUGGAGACUAAGCUGAGACCACGGUCUCAUUUGCAUUGGACCUGAACUUUCCUGGCAUGAAAGGAAAGAAGGGAAGAGGCCCAUGUCCAAGGCUGCCUUGAUGCUAUGCCCAAGCCCCACCUUUACAAUCACACAUGGAAAUGAUUUGGAACAACGGGAAAAUAAAAAAGCCUUUUGAAGCUUUGUCCCAAGAGAGAGGAACAGAAGAAACGAAAGAGAAUACACCAUGAUGCUCAGUAACAAUGGUAACCAGUGUCUAUUCAGCGUCACAGCAAAGCUUGCACUGGCCUAACUCAAAGUCAACAAUCAGCAGCUAUUACCAUGCACUGAAAAUCUCACCCUCCUGGAAAAAUGCACAUCUGCUCAGUGCAUCUCUUAAGCAAUGGGGACCCUCAAAUUUAGUGGCAUUUUCUGCUAACACGAUGAAGUGUUUAGCUCUUUAGGGCAGGGACUGUCUCUUUACUGCACUCCUAAGGCCCUGAUCCUUGAACGUUGCCCCAAGGCGCAGGGGUGGGGAAACUGAGGUUUGCUACACACAAUAAAAUGCCCUUUUUUCAAACCUAAUGCAGUACCUUUCAGACAGAUUCUCUGAGCAUGUGUACUGGUAGAAAUCCUUGGCAGAGUCCGUCUUCUGUGAGCCAAGUACUCAGCGUCCUCCUAUAUCAUUCUGCUGUGAAAAGAUGGAUGACUUGCACAGAGGGAAUGUAGUACAGCUGGCUAUUAAAUUAAGACUGCCAGAGUCAAAGGUAGCCCUGGCUUGAAAUACUACUGCUUGUUUUUAUGAAGUAUUGAAUAAUACCUUGUUGUCUGGAGUCUGAGUCAGCUUUCAUAGGUUCAUAGAUUCCAAGGCCAGACAGG